rnacentral:rRNA from 1 species
AACGCUGGCGGCGUGCUUAACACAUGCAAGUCGAACGAAGCAUUUACGACAGAUUUCUUCGGAUUGAAGUUGUUUAUGACUGAGUGGCGGACGGGUGAGUAACGCGUGGGUAACCUACCUCAUACAGGGGGAUAGCAGCUGGAAACGGCUGGUAAUACCGCAUAAGCGCACAGCAUCACAUGAUGCAGUGUGAAAAACUCCGGUGGUAUGAGAUGGACCCGCGUCUGAUUAGCUGGUUGGUGAGGUAACGGCCCACCAAGGCGACGAUCAGUAGCCGACCUGAGAGGGUGACCGGCCACAUUGGGACUGAGACACGGCCCAGACUCCUACGGGAGGCAGCAGUGGGGAAUAUUGCACAAUGGAGGAAACUCUGAUGCAGCGACGCCGCGUGAGUGAAGAAGUAGUUCGCUAUGUAAAGCUCUAUCAGCAGGGAAGAUAGUGACGGUACCUGACUAAGAAGCUCCGGCUAAAUACGUG